rnacentral:rRNA from 1 species
AUGAAGCCGGAAUUGCUAGUAAUGGCAGGUCAGCAUACUGCCGUGAAUACGUUCCCGGGCCUUGUACACACCGCCCGUCACACCAUGAGAGUUGGGAAUACCCGAAGCCUGUGAGCUAACGUAAGAGGCAGCAGUCGAAGGUAGAAUCAAUGAUUGGGGUGAAGUCGUAACAAGGUAGC